rnacentral:rRNA from 1 species
CACGUAGGGCGCAAGCGUUGUCCGGAAUUAUUGGGCGUAAAGAGCUCGUAGGUGGUUUGUUACGUCUGCUGUGAAAUCCUAGGGCUUAACCCUGGGCUUGCAGUGGAUACGGGCAGACUAGAGGUAGGUAGGGGAGAGUGGAAUUCCUGGUGUAGCGGUGAAAUGCGCAGAUAUCAGGAGGAACACCGGUGGCGAAGGCGGCUACCUGGACAGAGUCUGACGCUGAGGCACGAAAGCUAGGGGAGCAAACAGG